rnacentral:rRNA from 1 species
AAAGAAGUAGGUAGCUUAACCUUCGGGAGGGCGCUUACCACUUUGUGAUUCAUGACUGGGGUGAAGUCGUAACAAGGUAACCGUAGGGGAACCUGCGGUUGGAUCACCUCCUUACCUUAAAGAAGCGUACUUUGCAGUGCUCACACAGAUUGUCUGAUGAAAAUGAGC